GUGUAGAAGGACGUCUACGGGUUGUAAAGCACUUUCGGUAGGGAGGAAGGUAGUGUAGUUAACACCUGCAUUAUUUGACGUUACCUACAGAAGAAGCACCGGCUAACUCCGUGCCAGCAGCCGCGGUAAUACGGAGGGUGCGAGCGUUAAUCGGAAUUACUGGGCGUAAAGCGCAUGCAGGCGGCCUGUUAAGUCAGAUGUGAAAGACCCGGGGCGUUAACCUCGGAAUUGCAUUUGAAACUAGGCAGGCUAGAGUCUUGUAGAGGGGGGUAGGAAUUUCAGGUGUAGCGGUGAAAUGCGUAGAGAUCUGAAGGAAUACCAGUGGCGAAGGCGGCCCCCUCGGACAAAGACUGACGAUCAGAUGCGAAAGCGUGGGGAGCAAACAGGAUUAGAUACCCUGGUAG
rnacentral:rRNA from 1 species